GAAAGUAAGAAAGGGCGUACGGUGGAUGCCUAGGCUCUUGCAGGCGAUGAAGGACGUGAUAAGCUGCGAUAAGCUCCGGGUAGAUGCAAAUGAUCUUUGAUCCGGAGAUUUCCGAAUGGGACAACCCGGCAGGCUGAAGGCCUGUCAUCCGAUAUUUCGGAGGCGAACGUGGGGAACUGAAACAUCUUAGUACCCACAGGAAGAGAAAAUAACAAUGAUUCCCCAAGUAGUGGCGAGCGAACGGGGAAGAGCCCAAACCUGGGGUGUUACGGCACCUCAGGGGUUGUAGGACUGCGACACCGCAAGAAAUCAUGCGAGGAGAACGGUUUGGAAAAUCCGGCCAUAGAGGGUGACAGCCCCUUAUCCGAAGUAUGACGAAGCGCAGCAGUAUCCUGAGUAGCGCGGGACACGAGAAAUCCUGUGUGAAUCCGGCGGGCCCAUCCGCCAAGGCUAAAUACUCGCAAGAGACCGAUAGCGAACCAGUACCGUGAGGGAAAGGUGAAAAGCACUGCGAAGAGCAGAGUGAAAUAGUUCCUGAAACCGUACGCCUACAAGCGGUCGGAGCAUCUUAAUGAUGUGACGGCGUGCCUUUUGCAUAAUGAACCUACGAGUUGUCGUCACGGGCGAGGUUAAGUACAAUGAUGUACGCAGCCGAAGCGAAAGCGAGUCUUAACAGGGCGGAUAGUCCGUGGCGGCAGACGCGAAACCAAGUGAUCUACCCUUGUCCAGGUUGAAGUCCGGGUAACACCGGAUGGAGGACCGAACCAAUAAGCGUUGAAAAGCUUCUGGAUGAGGUGAGGGUAGGAGUGAAAGGCCAAUCAAACUUGGAGAUAGCUCGUACUCCCCGAAAUGCAUUUAGGUGCAGCCUCGGCUGUUCCCUUCCAGAGGUAGAGCGACUGAUCGGAUGCGAGGGCUUCACCGCCUAUCAAGUCCGGACAAACUCCGAAUGCUGGAAGGCCACAGGCCGGGAGUGAGGGCAUGGGUGCUAAGGUCCGUGCCCGAGAGGAGAAGAAUCCAGACCGUCGGCUAAGGCCCCGAAAUAUGGGUUAAGUUAAACUAACGAAGUUCGGUCCCAGUGACAGCUAGGAUGUUGGCUUGGAAGCAGCCAUUCAUUCAAAGAGUGCGUAACAGCUCACUAGUCGAGGGACUGUGCGUGGAUAAUAAUCGGGUAUGAAACCCAUUGCCGAAGCCACGGGAUUCGUAAGAAUCGGUAGGGGAGCAUUCCAACGGCGCGGAAGAUGAGGGAUGACCCUUGUUGGAGCUUUUGGAAAAGCAAAUGUAGGUAUAAGUAACGAUAAAGAGUGUGAGAUGCACUCUCGCCGAAAGACUAAGGUUUCCCGGGCAACGUUAAUCGGCCCGGGGUCAGUCGGGACCUAAGGUUCAUCCGAACGGAGAGACCGAUGGCAGAAAGGGUUAAUAUUCCCUUACUACCUUUCAUGGCGAUGUGGAGACGGAGAAGUGACACUUCCGCGUGCUGACGGAAUAGCACGUUGAAGGGUGUAGGCGUUGAUCGCGGCAGGCAAAUCCACCGCGAGAGCCGAACCUGAGAGUACAUGAAGCCUUCGGGUGGAAUGAUAGUGAAGGUAAGCAUGCUCCCGAGAAAAUCCGCUAAGCUUAACAUGAGAGGUACCCGUACCGCAAACGGACACACGUAGUCGGGUUGAAAAUACUAAGGCGCUUGGAAGAUUCACGGUUAAGGAACUAGGCAAAUUGACCCCGUAACUUCGGGAGAAGGGGUCCUCACAGCGAUGUGAGGCGCAGAGAAUAGGUCCAGGCAACUGUUUAGCAAAAACACAGGGCUGUGCGAAAUCGAAAGAUGAAGUAUACAGUCUGACACCUGCCCGGUGCCGGAAGGUUAAGAGGAGAUGUCACCGCAAGGGAAGCAUUGAAUUGAAGCCCCGGUAAACGGCGGCCGUAACUAUAACGGUCCUAAGGUAGCGAAAUUCCUUGUCGGGUAAGUUCCGACCU
rnacentral:rRNA from 1 species